CAGAGUUGCAAAACUCCCAACCAUUGUGAACCUACCUCACCGUUGCUUCGGCGGGUGGCCCGCUAAUUCCAGGCCGCGCCGGCCCCUUUCUAGGGGGCCCGGCAACCCGUCAGAGGCCCGAAACUCUUCGUCAUCAGUGGCCUCUCUGAGUAACUUAUACAAUAAGUCA
rnacentral:misc_RNA from 1 species